rfam:Danio rerio chromosome 17, GRCz11 reference primary assembly.
ACCGGCAGCUAGCUCUCUGCCACUCUCACAUGGUUGCCCACAGAAGCUAAGCAGGGCUGCGCCUGGUCAGUACCUGAAUGGGAGACUGCAUGGGAAAGCUAGGUUGCUGCCGGGA